GGUUUUCUGAAUAAAUGACGAACCCAUAUGAAAAGCCACUAUCAUUUUUAAAAAACCAAUAAAAUCUGCCUGGGGAGUGAAACAGUGAAAAGCCCCAGCUCGAGGUAAGGCAGCAGCACAGAAGGGUCCCUACCUGCUUCAUGUCACAUCGGGACUUUGUAAUAGCUCGAGUCGGAAGCUGUCCUUCUACAGCCAGGCUGGCUAGCGCACACCUGUAACCUUGGCACUCAGCAGACCGAGGCAGGAAGAUCCUGAAUUUACAUACCUUAUCUCAAAAAACAAACAAACAAAAAAAUUAAAACAGGUUAUAUAUGUUUGUGUAUAGAGAUUUAUAUAACUGGCUUUUAGAGACAGGGUCUUACUGCAUAGUCCUGGCUGGCCUCCAACUAGCUUUGUCCACCUUAUUGUCCUGAGGUCACAGGGGUUCCCCUUCCUCUGUCUCCUAAAUGCUGGGAUCAAAGGUGUAAGCUAUCUCACCCAGUUGAGACCAUAAUUUUUUUGGCUCUGCUACUACCUAAACGUGAGUCUUUAAACUGGUGGCUGGUCAAACCAAGCUGGAAAUUCUUUUGUUUUUUCCUCUCACCAAAGCAGUUUUUAUUUGAGGCAAGGAGAAGUCUGACCCAUAUGAUUACAGUUCUAAGCACUCUUAAGUGUUAGUGGCAUGACUUGGGCUAUAAAACUUGCUUCUGUUUGGUUGGAAAGGGUAUUCGUGAUAAAGUCCUCCAGGUGGGUAAGAAGAAAGACCUCAGCUAGUGGUACUGCCCUCCAGAUCCUACAUCAAACUAACUAACUCUCACCAUCUGGUUUGCAAGGUGCCACCCAGUGCAGAGGGACAUGGGACACUUGCAAGGGCAGAUGAGGCAGAAAGAACAGGUGCAAGUCACUUGAGGAGCAGCUCAAAAGGAACUUCACAGCCUUCCUCCCCACACCCCCAGGCUGCUUAGACUGAAGGCUGCUGCCUUGGGUGUAGCUAGAUCCUCAAGGGAGCUGAGGGGCUGGAGAGGUAGCUCAGCAGUUAGUACUCCCCGCUCUUACAGAGGACCCCCAAAUCAGCUCCCAGCACCCACAUGUGACCACGACCGCCUUCAACUCCAGCCUCAAGGGAUCCAAUGGCAUCUGCUGCAUGCGUUCAUGCAGAAGUGCCCACAUACUUUUAGAGAAAAUAACUCCUGAAAAAAAAAAUAACUUUAAAGGCAGAAAAUUGACAAAAUAAUGACUUAGGGUGGGGUGAGGAAGAAACUCAAAUCCAGCUGUGACUUAUAUUUAGAUAAUGCAGUUUCCUGGUGCCUCCAAGGCUAAGCAUAAGUGUGUGCAUAGGAGAUCUACUUCUGUGGGGUUAGGUCAUAGCUCAAAAAGGAAUUUAAAUAGUUAUGCCAGGUUUGUCAAUGCACAACUAUAAUCCCAGCAUUUGGGAAUCCGAGGCAGGAGGAAUGUGAGUUCAGGUCUAGCCUGGGCUAUAUACUAAGACCUUGUCUCAAAAACAAAGAUCAGGCUCUAAUUUAACUGGCUUAUUGCAGUACUGUCCCCAGCACUAUCCUCAGAUUCCUGUUUUGCCCUGGGAGAAUCAAACACAUGCAGGGCACCCUGUCUCAGAACUGGUGUGGUAAGUCAGGGUCACAAGUGUUUAUCAUUCUGGUCACAUUAGGGUGCUAUGGCCUCUCAUCAUCGGAGGUAUUGGUCCUCAUCCUGUGUCUGGGGGAGUUUUUACUUCUUGGUCAGUGACUUAGUUGUAGAAGGGUCCCUGGCACUGUUUGACCCUGAAUUUUAAUGCUGACCAAUGUGUUACUCCCGGUUGCCUUUCCAUAUCUCUGGAGACCUUGCUAGAAAAGCAAGUCUAUGGGCGCAACAUUAACCUGCCAAUAAGAGUGGCCCUGCCCUCUGCCGUCUUGGAUCAUCUGUAGUAGCCUUCCAACCAGAGUGGGCUUUGCUUUCUCUCUCCCAUCUUUGAUCAUCUUCCAAGUUGGCUUCCAACAAGGAUGAGCUCUGCUCGGUCGAUCUUCAUCUUGGAUCCCCUACAUUGGCCUUCCAAAGAGAGGGGCUUUGCCCUCUUUCCACCUUUCAGGUUCUCAGAGACCACACUGUAACAUUGGAAACUACCAUGACAGCACUUGCCAGGCAUUCACAGUGACGCAGAAGAGCUAUUUGACUCCCAGGUCCAGCCCAAACCCACGACCAGCAAAGCAGUAAUGGAGUGCUUCCCCUCCCAGGAGCCAGAGCCAGGAAUGGUGGGUUAGACGUGACUGGAUCCAGUUGUGAGGAUAGAACCUUCCAGACAUGUGUUUCAGGUGACCCUCAACUACCUCAGGUUUGAAGACCCUAAGUUAAACUUGAUUACCACUCUAGGGACAAACCGAGGAAUCUGGUUAAAUCUUGGUGAUAACCUAAAUGUCUCAAGCUUAUAACAAACUCUCAAACCGUGCAGGGAUGGGGCUGAUUUUUGUUUGUUUAUGCCCGCCCCCUUCUGUUUCUAACCUUUUCCACUGUUUUCCAUUAGAGUAGUCCCUAUAAGUGAAUUUCACUUCUCACAAGGUGCCUACCUUCCCAGAGCAGGUAGCCACUGGCUCUUGUUUCCUCCUCACAGGACUUUUAUUAUGGAAUGAAGAUCUUUCUUUGUAUAAUGC
rnacentral:lncRNA from 1 species